rnacentral:rRNA from 1 species
GGGUGCACUUGUGCAUCCAGCGGCGAACGGUCGCGUAACGCGUAGGCAACCUGCCCUUUAGACCGGGAUAACACUUCGAAAGGGGUGCUAAUACCGGAUGUUUUUCUAGUGGUGCAUGCUACUGGAAACAAAUCCAAGUAAUUGGGCUAAAGGAUGGGCCUGCGUCCUAUCAGCUNGAGGUGGGGUAACAGCCUACCAUGGCGUCGACGGGUAGCUGGUCUGAGAGGAUGUCCAGCCGGACUGGGACUGAGAUACGGCCCAGACUCCUACGGGGGGCAGCAAUUAGGAAUCUUGCGCAAUGGGCGAAAGCCUGACGCAGCGACGCCGCGUGGAGGAGGACGGCCUUCGGGUUGUAAACUCCUUUUUACAGGGAAGAAUAAAAUGACGGUACCUGUGGAAUAAGCCCCGGCUAACUCCGUGCCAGCAGCCGCGGUAAUACGGAGGGGGCGAGCGUUGUCCGAAGUUACUGGGCGUAAAGCGCGCGUAGGCGGGUAUGCAAGUCUGCUGUGAAAGCCCGGGGCUCAACCUCGGCGGGUCGGUGGAUACUGCAUGUCUUGAAGCGGCCAGGGGAAGAUGGAAUUACCGGUGUAGCGGUAAAAUGCGUAGAUAUCGGUAGGAACACCCGUGGCGAAGGCGGUCUUCUGGGGCUGGCUUGACGCUGAGGCGCGAAGGCUGGGGGAGCGAACGGGAUUAGAUACCCCGGUAGUCCCAGCGGUAAACGAUGGAUACUAGGUGUUGGGGGUAUCGACCCCUCCAGCGCCGCCGCUAACGCAAUAAGUAUCCCGCCUGGGGAGUACGGCCGCAAGGUUAAAACUCAAAGGAAUUGACGGGGGCCCGCACAAGCGGUGGAGCAUGUUGUUUAAUACGUCACAAACCGUAGAACCUUACCAGGGCUUGACAUCCGUCGCACCGGUGUGAAAGCACCGUCCCUCGCAAGAGGGCGGCGAGACAGGUGUUGCAUGGCUGUCGUCAGCUCGUGUCGUGAGAUGUUGGGUUAAGUCCCGCAACGAGCGCAACCCUCAUCCCAUGUUGCCAUCAGGUGAAGCUGGGCACUCUUGGGAAACUGCCGGGGUAACUCGGAGGAAGGUGAGGAUGACGUCAAGUCAGUAUGGCCCUUACGCCCUGGGCUACAAACAUGCUACAAUGGACGGUAUACAGAGGGAUCCGAACUCGCGAGAGUGAGGUAAUCUCAGAAAUCCGUUCUCAGUUCGGAUCGCGGGCUGCAACUCGCCUGCGUGAAGCCGGAAUCGCUAGUAAACGCAG